rnacentral:rRNA from 1 species
GAGUUUGAUCAUGGCUCAGAUUGAACGCUGGCGGCAGGCCUAACACAUGCAAGUCGAACGGUAACAGGAAACAGCUUGCUGUUUCGCUGACGAGUGGCGGACGGGUGAGUAAUGUCUGGGAAACUGCCUGAUGGAGGGGGAUAACUACUGGAAACGGUAGCUAAUACCGCAUAACGUCGCAAGACCAAAGAGGGGGACCUUCGGGCCUCUUGCCAUCAGAUGUGCCCAGAUGGGAUUAGCUAGUAGGUGGGGUAACGGCUCACCUAGGCGACGAUCCCUAGCUGGUCUGAGAGGAUGACCAGCCACACUGGAACUGAGACACGGUCCAGACUCCUACGGGAGGCAGCAGUGGGGAAUAUUGCACAAUGGGCGCAAGCCUGAUGCAGCCAUGCCGCGUGUAUGAAGAAGGCCUUCGGGUUGUAAAGUACUUUCAGCGGGGAGGAAGGGAGUAAAGUUAAUACCUUUGCUCAUUGACGUUACCCGCAGAAGAAGCACCGGCUAACUCCGUGCCAGCAGCCGCGGUAAUACGGAGGGUGCAAGCGUUAAUCGGAAUUACUGGGCGUAAAGCGCACGCAGGCGGUUUGUUAAGUCAGAUGUGAAAUCCCCGGGCUCAACCUGGGAACUGCAUCUGAUACUGGCAAGCUUGAGUCUCGUAGAGGGGGGUAGAAUUCCAGGUGUAGCGGUGAAAUGCGUAGAGAUCUGGAGGAAUACCGGUGGCGAAGGCGGCCCCCUGGACGAAGACUGACGCUCAGGUGCGAAAGCGUGGGGAGCAAGCAGGAUUAGAUACCCUGGUAGUCCACGCCGUAAACGAUGUCGACUUGGAGGUUGUGCCCUUGAGGCGUGGCUUCCGGAGCUAACGCGUUAAGUCGACCGCCUGGGGAGUACGGCCGCAAGGUUAAAACUCAAAUGAAUUGACGGGGGCCCGCACAAGCGGUGGAGCAUGUGGUUUAAUUCGAUGCAACGCGAAGAACCUUACCUGGUCUUGACAUCCACGGAAGUUUUCAGAGAUGAGAAUGUGCCUUCGGGAACCGUGAGACAGGUGCUGCAUGGCUGUCGUCAGCUCGUGUUGUGAAAUGUUGGGUUAAGUCCCGCAACGAGCGCAACCCUUAUCCUUUGUUGCCAGCGGUCCGGCCGGGAACUCAAAGGAGACUGCCAGUGAUAAACUGGAGGAAGGUGGGGAUGACGUCAAGUCAUCAUGGCCCUUACGACCAGGGCUACACACGUGCUACAAUGGCGCAUACAAAGAGAAGCGACCUCGCGAGAGCAAGCGGACCUCAUAAAGUGCGUCGUAGUCCGGAUUGGAGUCUGCAACUCGACUCCAUGAAGUCGGAAUCGCUAGUAAUCGUGGAUCAGAAUGCCACGGUGAAUACG